rnacentral:rRNA from 1 species
CCCAGUCGGACACCCGGUGGUAGGUGGGGUGCGAUGGUGAUGGUUGCGUUAGUGUGUUCAGAAGGGCAUAGGGGGCAUAGGGGUAGGGUGCGGUUAGGGGUAAUGAGAGGGGCAGAGGGCCUAGGGUGCGGCCACGUAGAGGGUCGAGGGAGGGGGGUGGACGAAGGAGGUGGAGGUCUGCUACGACUGCCGGUCUAGUGCGUCCUCGGACACCAGGAGGAGGUGGAAGUCAAGCAGAGGAGAGGUCAGCGCGGCGGUGGGACAAGCACCAGCUCGGCGCCGCUCGUCGUCUCCUGGCGGUGGCCGAGCAGGUGUUGGUUAGCCGCUCGUCGUCUCGUCUCCUGGGGCAUCGGCGGAUGGCGCGGUUGGAGGGAGGGAGGAGUGCUUGCUUCGGUAUCGGGUGCCGGUACCGAUCCCAAACAUGUCAAAAAGGGGUAGAGUAGACCAUCUGGUUUAGUUUCAAGACGUGGAGGAUCAGAGGAUCCGAACAAUGACAUGUCGCCGUUGUUUUUAAAGUUGUGAAACAAACGUUCCUUCCCCCAGUACCUCUAGAGCUGCCGCCACCCAGUGUGUCCUCCCACCGCACCCAGAGUCCUAGUGGCGGAGCGGCUACACCAGGGAAGGCAGAGACGGCCUCGUCGCUUGCGGAAACGAACCACGAACUGGUUAACCCGGUCUAUAAAUCCUUUAACUGGACUUCCACGAUUUCAAAACCUUGUUCAACGUAGACCUAGUUUCCCGUUGUAUAAACGAAUAGCACUUCUGCGAACGUUCCUACGUCGCCCUCGUCUAGUAAACCUCUCUAUCCUACGGUGUCAAACCAGAAAGAUACGUAAAAACCAAACGGACAUUAAGACAAACGGAACCGUUCUUGACAUCCACAGACCUAUACGAGAUUACGAGGACCAAAUGAUAUUUAGAACCUAAACAUUACUACAUAUUACUACACAUUACG